AUCUAGAUGACGAGUCUCAAAAUAGGACGCGACGCGCGUCCUGGAU
rnacentral:hammerhead_ribozyme from 1 species